AACGAACGCUGGCGGCAGGCUUAACACAUGCAAGUCGAACGGGCGCGAGCAAUCGCGUCAGUGGCAGACGGGUGAGUAACACGUGGGAACCUUCCUAGGGGUACGGAACAACUCAGGGAAACUUGAGCUAAUACCGUAUACGUCCGUAAGGAGAAAGAUUCAUCGCCCCUAGACGGGCCCGCGUCGGAUUAGCUAGUUGGUGGGGUAACGGCCUACCAAGGCGACGAUCCGUAGCUGAUCUGAGAGGAUGAUCAGCCACACUGGGACUGAGACACGGCCCAGACUCCUACGGGAGGCAGCAGUGGGGAAUCUUGGACAAUGGGCGCAAGCCUGAUCCAGCCAUGCCGCGUGAGUGAAGAAGGCCUUAGGGUUGUAAAGCUCUUUUUACCAGGGACGAUAAUGACGGUACCUGGAGAAAUAAGCCCCGGCAAACUUCGUGCCAGCAGCCGCAGU
rnacentral:rRNA from 1 species